AGAAGGUGUUGGCCUGGGUGCCCGUGGCCUUCAUCGCCCUGGUCGUGGCCUGGUCCUACUACGCCUACGUGGUGGAGCUCUGUGUGUGAAUUCAGUGUCUAAGGAAGAGAUCCAGCGAGGGGAGUGAUAUGAAGAAAGCAACCUAAUAAGUAGAGCAGCUCUCUGUUCAGCAUCUUACCUGAACUGAUGAAGGAAGUGUGAAGGUUUUGGAGAAGCCUGACGGCAGGAGGAGGUACUCCUAGUCGGGCAGUAUACAAGUUACUAUUUCUUCAACUGCAGAAAAAGAGGGCUGUCUUCAGAGCGUGAGACCACUGUUGUCUACCUUGUGGUUUUUCAUCUGUCAUUUGUCAUGUUUGUAUGGUCCUAUUGGAAGACAAUUUUCACAUCUCCUGCAUCCCCCUCUAAUGAGGCUUCGCUGAAGUUGCUUUCAAUACAGCUCAUGGAUGUUGAGACUAGUGCUGACAACUCCGAAUUCUGCUUGUCAAAAGCUGAUAAAGAACAAUAUGAAAAAGAAGAGAGACCAGAAUCCCAGCAGGAAAUUUUGAGAAGAGCUGCUAAAGACUUGCCUAUCUAUACGACAACAGCAUCGAGAGCCAUCAGAUACUGUGAUCGAUGCCAGCUAAUCAAACCUGACCGCUGCCACCACUGUUCUGCAUGUGACAUAUGUGUACUAAAAAUGGACCACCACUGUCCAUGGGUGAAUAAUUGUGUGGGAUUUUCUAACUACAAAUUCUUCCUCCUGUUUUUAAUGUAUUCCUUACUGUACUGUCUGUUUGUUGCUGCUACAGUCUUGCAGUACUUCAUAAAGUUUUGGACACUUUGCCGCAGGAAAGCUGCAGAGAAUUGUCCAAAGAAUGAAUUGCCAGAUACCCAUGCAAAAUUCCACGUACUAUUCCUUUUCUUUGUGGCAGCCAUGUUCUUCAUCAGCAUACUGUCACUCUUCAGCUACCACUGCUGGCUAGUUGGCAAAAACAGAUCAACCAUAGAAACAUUCCGUGCACCCACAUUUCGAAAUGGCCCUGAUAAAAAUGGCUUUUCUCUUGGAUGCAGCAAAAAUCUGAGGGAGGUUUUCGGAGAUGAAAAGAAGUAUUGGCUACUCCCUAUCUUUACCAGUUUGGGCGACGGGUGUAACUUUCCGACUCGUUUGGUGAUUAUGGAUCCAGAGCAACUUACUGUCUCAAGCCAAAGUGAACCUGCCAAAAGCUCUGGAGGCAGUCAGUCCUUUCCUACUCGACCACUCAGUGAAUCACAAAAUCGAUUGCUAGCCAGUGACAGUCAGUGGGUGGAAAGUGGCCCUGAAGAGGAAAAUGUUAAAUCAGGUAACCUGCACCGUAACACUUCCGUUGAUUCUAUGGUUUUGUUUGUGGUGGGUUUUUCCAUUUUCUUUUAGGCCUAAAAAGUCCUUAGGAAUUGGUUGGAGUUAAGUAGAAGAAAAUUUGUUCCAUAGAAUCAAGACAGCAUGUUUAGAAGUUAAGGCUAACUUGUCUCAUGCUCUGCUCCAAAAUGAGUUACUACACUAAGGUAAUGCAUAGAUAAUUCUCACUUUCGCACUUCCUGUUCUGAGAUUUUGGAUCUUUUUACAUUUGAUUAGGGGGAGGAAAAUAUUUUUCUAAAAUAGGCACAACACAAUAAAUGUGCUUUCUGGUUUGAAGUCUUUGCUAUUUGUUGUGCAAAUCUGCAAAAACACAUAAUUGAGAUUCUCUCACAUUUCAGGUGCAAAAAAGCAUAUUAUAGUUUCAUUGGAAAGCUGAUCUCAGCUUAUUACUAACCAACCAUCUCAAUGAGAAACAGGUUUCUGCAACACAUUUUGUGCUUGAAUAUUACUUAAUUUUGUUUGGAAGAAGUUAUCAGUAAAAAAUGGAACAUGAACAUUUUAGGAAGAGACAAGAAAUUUAAGUUUCUGCACAGUACGAUGGAUUCUUGUAAGCACUAUUGCAGAGCAGGGGAGUUAAGACAGAUGCCUUAAGAUUCUUAACGUGCAUUUAUGCAACACUGAAUUAUAUACUGCUACCAAAGGGCCAAAUCCUGAAGUGCCCUGCUUGGAUGCACAAGGUCCAGAGUGGGAACUAUGCAUUUCUGUAUGCUGCAGUGAUGGGGGUAGAUUGCAGAGACUACCUCCCCACAGGCAAACUUCAUACCUUAGGCACUGCAGAAGUCACUUCCAUAGCAGGUCUCCAGGAUACAGAAAGAAAGAAAAAAGGAAAAGAGAAAAAGAAAAGAAAAAAAAAAAAACGGGGAGGGGGGGAGAAAAUCAACAUAGAGCAUGGCCAGUGAGUCUGAAGUGCAACUAUACAUAGUUCAAGCACCAGGUGAUGGGGAAUGGACUGGAUGGUGUCUUCUCCCCACCUUCCUAUUAGCCAGUCUACCCCAUGAUCACAGCUCUCCAAGUCUUUUGGGACUGAGGAUUCCUUCUACUAGCUGUGCUUUGGAGCAAGGCAAUGCCAACAACAUAAAAGCCUUUUACUUGGGUUUUUUUGCUAUAGGAUCGAGCCCCCUCAUUGGUGUAACUUGAUAUAUGUAACCAUAUCAAGAACAGAGCUCAAAGAAGCAAACUCCAUUUUUUAGUUGAAAAAAGCAUGGAUUAUUACUUUCCAACAAUUGUCUAUCAGCAUACAAAGAAAAGCCAAUCUAAAAAGGAAUUAACAACUGUUAUAUUUUCUGUUAGUCUGCAGUGUUCUGUACGAGGCAGUAACAAAAUGGUAAAGUACCCCUGAGAAAAACCUUAUUGCAGUUGUGUGUUGUUAGAAAAUGGAACUGGAAGAGUACUGCUUUUUCUAUGGGACUCUUGAUGGUUUAUAAAUACUGUUUUAUAGUUUUGUUUUAUCUUUUUAAUAAAGGCACAAGUUUUUAUUGGUUCUAAAGUACCAUUUAAACCAAUAUCAAGUACUUACAAGAAAAUUAGUGUUGGAUCAUACAUCUGGUUAACACACUGAGAAUUUGUAUGCUUUAGUCUGCCACUUUCAAGUCCAGUUUAAGUGAUGCUGAAAUUGCUAAAGAUUGAGUACUUUGUGCAGUGAUGUACCUGUUCACAAAAGGCAAAAUGUGUUUCCUGUGUGAGGAAUAAAGUCCAUCCUAAGCUCAAGACCUACAGCAAACAAUAUGGGGUUUUUUUUCCCCCUCACUCCUCUAUAGAGAAGACUGCUAACUCAUCUUUGGGAGGUAUUGGAAUUUUGCACCUGGAAAAAGUGACAAAUACUAUUUUACUGUCUGUAACUUUUCUGAUGUUUAGCUGAUGCUGAUUACAAAUAGACAUGAGCCCUUUUGAUACAGACUGAAGGUAGUAGCCAAGUUGAUGAUCUGGACCAAAAGAACCUGUUUGGUUUCUCUCCCAGAUUGAUUGCUACUUAAGUUAAAUAUGUUUAUGAUGGAGAUACUAAGGUAUCAAGUAUACUGUAAGGUUUAAAACAAGUAUUUUUUGCCUUUGGAAAGAAUAAAUUUUCUUAGAUAUUAAUCUUAUAGAACAAGAACACUUUGAGAAGCUAUGAACAUGAUUUGGUCACUGUUGGAUGUUCCUGAGACAGAAGUAAUGGUCUAAACUUGAGUGUUUUAUAAAAGUUGCAGAAUGUUUCUUCAAACUUGGUACAAGAAAUUUUGCAUUUGCUAAUAUCAAAACUUACAAAAGUAUUGCUACACAUUAAUCUGAAAGGUUUAGCUUUUUCUUCUCAAAUGUCAAGUGAGAAGUGCUCAUCUGAAUAUAACCUCUCAGCAGUACUGCACCAGCAAAAUUUCUUCGGGAAGACAACAGAGACAGAAGACUGCAAGUUCAAAUGGCUCAUUCUGAAUACCAAAAUUUGCAGCCCCAAAUACUGGUGGGACUAAUGGAGGACCCAGGAUAUCAUCUGGCUUUUACUGCAUCAGUGUAUUACAGCUGGGAUAACGCAUACAUGCACAGCAGAACUGUAAGCAAAAUCUAUGUCUCUGAUGUGGUAAAUAUUACUGAUUCAGCAAUACAGUCUCUGCCCCCUCCCUCCACCCCCAAAGUGCUUGAUAUACCCCCAUAUGAAUUUAUAUAUACUGUAGGCUAACAUCAGUGUAACUUGUUUGAUUUCUUAAGUCAGGAUAGUUAAUCUACAGGAAAACUGCAAGUAAACAGACCGGGCUAACUCUAUGUGUGUUCUCUAGCGAGUGCUGGUCUUCUGAAACCAGUUCUUUAUAUAUCUGGUGGAUAUUUUUGUGGCUUUUCAUGAAGAGCUGAUGUUUCUGACAUCUUUAUGCAGAUCAUGGGUACAUUUUGUCCCAGAUUUUUCUCGUGUUUCAGAUAAAAAAAGGAGGAGAGCAGUGUGCUUAGGAUACUCUUGAGGCCAGAGUUACUGUUGGUGUAAAAGCAGGCAUUACUGAAAAGUCACUUUGAAAAACAUGAAAUGUAGUAAAAUGAUUCAAAUAUGAUUCUUCCAAAUUCACCCCCUCCCCCUUUUCUUCCCCUCCAGGGAACUGGUUACUAAGAGAAAUGCCAGACUGGUAUAAAGGAAUUAACUUGUCUAAGGGAAUUGUAUUGAUGAACUCCAAGGGCUCACCAGUGAGUGGGAUGGGAGGGUCAUGUUUUCCUGGCAGGCCCUGGCUGCAGAGGAGGUAUCGCGUCUAAGGCAGCAGGACAGUGUCUUCUCUUUUCCAGAGUUCUGUCCUGACAGCUCCCUAGCCAUAAGCAAGGGCACUCUGCGCUGUAUCAAAGAGUAGGAUAGGCAAAAUGAGGGAGCAAGCCAGGAAUUUAAAAGUUGGUGAGAACAAAGAGCUGUUUGGCUGUUGAGUUGCAAGCAGACUUGGGUAUCGCUGCCAGCAGAGGCAGGGGGGCUGUAGAGGUGCUCCAGGAAAUAGGUCCUUUUGGCCCAUGCACUGAAGAGCUGAAAACUUGCGGUGAAUGCAGCAAGAAGAGCGGCUCUGCCUGUUCAGGAGGCCAAAAGAGAGAUGGAUCCUGAGAAAACAACUGUUUAGGGUGCUGCAUCAUGUGCUGGUUUUGUGCUUUAACCUACUCUCUGUUGGCAAGUCUUGAAAAUACCUAGAUCAUCACUAAAAAUAACAGCCCUUAAGCUUUUAGAUCCGUCAAAACAAUUACUAUUGCAAGCCAUAAAUAGUAUUGCAGUUACUGCAGGAUAGUCAACAUUGGCUGCAAUUAGGAACUAUGCUUUAGUAUUUCUUAAUGCUUUUUUCUUUUAAAAAAAAUCCAUGUACACACAGGAGUCAUGCACACAAAAUGACAUUAAACUCCCAGAGUGAGGACAGAAGCCUGAUAUAGGGCAAGAUUUCAGUGUGACUUCUCAAGAUUUCUGAAAUGUCUUGAGAUGAUAAACCUGUCCCUCUGAAGAUAAGGCAGGCAGAUCCAUAAAUAGAAAAUACUUGAAACACAGCUAAUACAGUUUUUUUUCUUAUGAUUACUUGUUCUCAGAGUCUACAACAUGCACAUCAUUGCUGCUGCUACCAAAGGCAUAUUACGGGAAGAGUGCAGGAGGAGGUGUAGGUUGGUGUCAUAACUGACUUCCUACAGCAUUAUCCCGAGAUCGCAGUGUCACAAGUUAGAUGCAUCAUAAGCCUUUGAUUGAAAACUUCCACUUUAAAUAUUCAGAGGGUUAUUUUAGAGGGAGUUUGGGCACUUCUAUUUUUAGUGAUUUGAGUAGAAAUUGUGGUAACAUUUUUGUUAAAGCUGCCCCUUGAGCGUUCAGUUUGCAGGUACCAAGCUACUUUUGGUAUGGUAUUCUUAGAAACUGGUCCUGUUCUCCAGAGUGCCAAGUGCCUGCAGUUUUCGGGUACUGUUUCUUCCCUCAUAUGAUCUUGUGUGGCUCUUCUGUAUUGUAAUUACUCUUUUGGGGUUUGGAGGUUUUGGUUAAGUUCAAUACCAUUCACUAUGAACUCAAAGAACUUCUUGAUAUAUCUAAAGUGUAUGGUCCAGUUGUAGCUCACCAGAGCCCCAAGAGGAGGAAAAAAGCGUUUGCAGCAGCAUCACUGUCUGGCAGGUUUACCAAGAGAUGCAUUGACUGACAUGGAUUAACCAGAUCUGCCUAGAUCUGGAGCACUGUCUGACCAUAUUUAUUAAAAAUUUAAAAAAAAACCCACAAAACCAAACUACAGCUUUGAGCUUCAUAGUGUACAUUCUCUGACGACACUGUCUAAAAUUGUCUGUGAUUGGGGGAUUCAGGUAUGUGUUUACAGAGGCUCCAAACAGCAGCUACUUUAACUCAGUGCAGAUCAAGAACACAUCUGUCACAGUACCUAAAAAAUAGCUAGGUAUGCAAUAUCAGAGGCUCUUCUAUCCCUAAAUGGCACCAAAGAGAGCAGCUGCAUAUAGUGAUUUGUUAUAAUACUGAACACAUUUACUACACUCAUUUCUAUCAAUUUAUUUUGUAUAUAUCAACAGCUUUUUAUAUGCAUUUUUCUUAAUUAUGUAACUGUCAUGACAUGUAAUGAAGCUGCAAGUUGUAGUUAGUUUUAAUGCUGAUUAAAACUGGUGUUUGGCUGUUUGUUUUCUGCAGCAAUUACUUGAAUCUUGUUUCCAUUAGGUAGUGAAGUCUGAUAAUGUUUACAGGAUUGCUUGCUUUGUUUUGGGGGGGGGGGUUCCCCAUCUUUCUUCCCAUCCCCUGCCCCAAGAAACAGCACAUGCUCAGCAGUCAAGCAGGUGUGUUGGGGAUGAAGCAUUGGGAUCACCUCUAUUGGCACCAAAGCAUUAACGGUGACAGGCACAUUCCCUUCCGUUCACAUUGCUUAGCUGACAACUUACACACUUAGCAAGUUCCUCUCCGAUUUCUCCUGUCCCUUAACCUGUUACUAUCACCUUUAUUGUGAGAAACUUAAAUCUUUCUGAACAAUUUACAAUCAUAAAACUAUCAUCACAGAAACAGGCAGCAAACCUGCUCUUAAAUCUGCCCCCUCUCCCCGUCCCCUUUUUAACUGAGAUGAAUUAAAUAUCGCUGGGUUAUCUCAGCAAUUAUUUUUGCAUUUGCCAGCAAGGGUCAUCAACAUUUGCACUAAUCACAAUGUCCCAGUUGUUCUGCUUCCAUGUAGUCAUUUUUAAUUGUGCUACCUAAACUUGUAAUGAUGAGCUGUAUUUAAGUUUGAGGUGAAGUGUAAAAGAUAUAUGUAAUAACGACACAUUUACUGUAUUUUUGGUAUGUUACAGAUAGGACUAGUCCUAUGCACAGAGAAAACAUGUUGCCAUUUAUAGUUUAAUACUUGAAGUAACUUUUUAAAAUGGGCUUUUAUAAAUGAAUUAAUUAAAUACAGAAUCACAAUGCUUUGCCUGGAAGUUCCUUCAUGUUUUAAUUGUAUUGUGCAAUUUCCCCAUAUGUAUACUUUUCCAUAAAUGUUAUCUAUCUUAAGCCAUUUAUAACCAUUAAAAGUGCAUUCAAGAUUUUGUACAUCAGUGUUCAGACCUGUUCAUACUUCUCUGAAGUAUAGUUCAUGUUUAAAUAAAAAAAUUGUACCAUUUUAGGCCUCUUUUCCAAAGUGACAAAAUAUGAAUGGACUUGACACUUGAAUUCAUGACUGAAUGCAACAUCAACUUAAUAAAAGUACGUGAAAGAAUGUGAAAA